GGGUUGUGAGGUUAAGCGACUAAGCGUACACGGUGGAUGCCCUGGCAGUCAGAGGCGAUGAAGGGCGUGCUAAUCUGCGAUAAGCGCCGGUAAGGUGAUAUGAACCGUUAUAACCGGCGAUACCCGAAUGGGGAAACCCAGUGUGAUUCGUCACACUAUCAUUAACUGAAUCCAUAGGUUAAUGAGGCGAACCGGGGGAACUGAAACAUCUAAGUACCCCGAGGAAAAGAAAUCAACCGAGAUUCCCCCAGUAGCGGCGAGCGAACGGGGAGGAGCCCAGAGCCUGAAUCAGCAUGUGUGUUAGUGGAAGCGUCUGGAAAGGCGCGCGAUACAGGGUGACAGCCCCGUACACAAAAGCGCAUGUGCUGUGAGCUCGAUGAGUAGGGCGGGACACGUGGUAUCCUGUCUGAAUAUGGGGGGACCAUCCUCCAAGGCUAAAUACUCCUGACUGACCGAUAGUGAACCAGUACCGUGAGGGAAAGGCGAAAAGAACCCCGGCGAGGGGAGUGAAAAAGAACCUGAAACCGUGUACGUACAAGCAGUGGGAGCCCCACCACUAAGCCAGUGGUGAACUCCACAUACGCAUCCUUUGCUGAGGAUACGGUUAACGGAGCGAAAGCGACGUUCAACCGCAAAACAAGCAGAGGGGGCUUAGUGGUGGGGUGACUGCGUACCUUUUGUAUAAUGGGUCAGCGACUUAUAUUCUGUAGCAAGGUUAACCGAAUAGGGGAGCCGUAGGGAAACCGAGUCUUAACCGGGCGUUAAGUUGCAGGGUAUAGACCCGAAACCCGGUGAUCUAGCCAUGGGCAGGUUGAAGGUUGGGUAACACUAACUGGAGGACCGAACCGACUAAUGUUGAAAAAUUAGCGGAUGACCUGUGGCUGGGGGUGAAAGGCCAAUCAAACCGGGAGAUAGCUGGUUCUCCCCGAAAGCUAUUUAGGUAGCGCCUCGUGAAUUCAUCUCCGGGGGUAGAGCACUGUUUCGGCUAGGGGGCCAUCCCGGCUUACCAACCCGAUGCAAACUGCGAAUACCGGAGAAUGUUAUCACGGGAGACACACGGCGGGUGCUAACGUCCGUCGUGAAGAGGGAAACAACCCAGACCGCCAGCUAAGGUCCCAAAGUCAUGGUUAAGUGGGAAACGAUGUGGGAAGGCCCAGACAGCCAGGAUGUUGGCUUAGAAGCAGCCAUCAUUUAAAGAAAGCGUAAUAGCUCACUGGUCGAGUCGGCCUGCGCGGAAGAUGUAACGGGGCUAAACCAUGCACCGAAGCUGCGGCAGCGAACGUAUCACUUAAAGCGAUUCAGCGGGUUACGAUUGACGGAGCGAAGCGACGUCAAAGCGUAUACAAAGUCGAGUCGGUUUAAGGAUACGUUCGUUGGGUAGGGGAGCGUUCUGUAAGCCUGCGAAGGUGGCCUGUGAGGGUUGCUGGAGGUAUCAGAAGUGCGAAUGCUGACAUAAGUAACGAUAAAGCGGGUGAAAAGCCCGCUCGCCGGAAGACCAAGGGUUCCUGUCCAACGUUAAUCGGGGCAGGGUGAGUCGACCCCUAAGGCGAGGCCGAAAGGCGUAGUCGAUGGGAAACGGGUUAAUAUUCCCGUACUUGGUGUUACUGCGAAGGGGGGACGGAGAAGGCUAUGUUGGCCGGGCGACGGUUGUCCCGGUUUAAGCGUGUAGGUGUGUGUUCCAGGUAAAUCCGGUUCACUUUAACACUGAGGCGUGACGACGAGGCACUACGGUGCUGAAGCAACAAAUGCCCUGCUUCCAGGAAAAGCCUCUAAGCAUCAGGUAACAUCAAAUCGUACCCCAAACCGACACAGGUGGUCAGGUAGAGAAUACCAAGGCGCUUGAGAGAACUCGGGUGAAGGAACUAGGCAAAAUGGUGCCGUAACUUCGGGAGAAGGCACGCUGAUAUGUAGGUGAAGCGGUUUACCCGUGGAGCUGAAAUCAGUCGAAGAUACCAGCUGGCUGCAACUGUUUAUUAAAAACACAGCACUGUGCAAACACGAAAGUGGACGUAUACGGUGUGACGCCUGCCCGGUGCCGGAAGGUUAAUUGAUGGGGUCAGCGCAAGCGAAGCUCCUGAUCGAAGCCCCGGUAAACGGCGGCCGUAACUAUAACGGUCCUAAGGUAGCGAAAUUCCUUGUCGGGUAAGUUCCGACCUGCACGAAUGGCGUAAUGAUGGCCAGGCUGUCUCCACCCGAGACUCAGUGAAAUUGAACUCGCUGUGAAGAUGCAGUGUACCCGCGGCAAGACGGAAAGACCCCGUGAACCUUUACUAUAGCUUGACACUGAACAUUGAGCCUUGAUGUGUAGGAUAGGUGGGAGGCUUUGAAGUGUGGACGCCAGUCUGCAUGGAGCCGACCUUGAAAUACCACCCUUUAAUGUUUGAUGUUCUAACGUGGACCCGUAAUCCGGGUUGCGGACAGUGUCUGGUGGGUAGUUUGACUGGGGCGGUCUCCUCCUAAAGAGUAACGGAGGAGCACGAAGGUUGGCUAAUCCUGGUCGGACAUCAGGAGGUUAGUGCAAUGGCAUAAGCCAGCUUGACUGCGAGCGUGACGGCGCGAGCAGGUGCGAAAGCAGGUCAUAGUGAUCCGGUGGUUCUGAAUGGAAGGGCCAUCGCUCAACGGAUAAAAGGUACUCCGGGGAUAACAGGCUGAUACCGCCCAAGAGUUCAUAUCGACGGCGGUGUUUGGCACCUCGAUGUCGGCUCAUCACAUCUGGGGCUGAAGUAGGUCCCAAGGGUAUGGCUGUUCGCCAUUUAAAGUGGUACGCGAGCUGGGUUUAGAACGUCGUGAGACAGUUCGGUCCCUAUCUGCCGUGGGCGCUGGAGAACUGAGGGGGGCUGCUCCUAGUACGAGAGGACCGGAGUGGACGCAUCACUGGUGUUCGGGUUGUCAUGCCAAUGGCACUGCCCGGUAGCUAAAUGCGGAAGAGAUAAGUGCUGAAAGCAUCUAAGCACGAAACUUGCCCCGAGAUGAGUUCUCCCUGAGACUUAGAGUCUCCUGAAGGAACGUUGAAGACGACGACGUUGAUAGGCCGGGUGUGUAAGCGCAGCGAUGCGUUGAGCUAACCGGUACUAAUGAACCGUGAGGCUUAACCUUACAACGCCGAAG
rnacentral:rRNA from 1 species